rnacentral:rRNA from 1 species
CAACAGGGAUUGCCCUAGUAACGGCGAGUGAAGCGGCAACAGCUCAAAUUUGAAAUCUGGCGCAAGCCCGAGUUGUAAUUUGUAGAGGAUGCUUCAGGGCAGCGGCCGGUCUAAGUUCCUUGGAACAGGACGUCAUAGAGGGUGAGAAUCCCGUAUGCGACCGGUUGGCACCCGUCACGUAGCUCCUUCGACGAGUCGAGUUGUUUGGGAAUGCAGCUCUAAAUGGGAGGUAAAUUUCUUCUAAAGCUAAAUACCGGCCAGAGACCGAUAGCGCACAAGUAGAGUGAUCGAAAGAUGAAAAGCACUUUGGAAAGAGAGUUAAAAAGCACGUGAAAUUGUUGAAAGGGAAGCGCAUGCAACCAGACUUGUCGGCGGUGUUCCGCCGGUCUUCUGACCGGUCUACUCGCCGCCGGCAGGCCAGCAUCAUCUGGGCGCGCCGGACAAAGGCGCGGGGAAUGUGGCUCCUCGGAGUGUUAUAGCCCCGCGCACAAUACGGCGCCGCUCGGGUGAGGUCCGCGCUUCGGCUAGGAUGCUGGCGUAAUGGUUGUCUGCGGCCCGUCUUGAAACACGGACCAAGGAGUCUAACAUCUAUGCGAGUGUUCGGGUGUCAAACCCCUACGCGGAAUGAAAGUGAACGGAGGUGGGAAGCGCAAGCUGCACCAUCGACCGAUCCUGAUGUCUUCGGAUGGAUUUGAGUAAGAGCAUAGCUGUUGGGACCCGAAAGAUGGUGAACUAUGCCUGAAUAGGGUGAAGCCAGAGGAAACUCUGGUGGAGGCUCGCAGCGGUUCUGACGUGCAAAUCGAUCGUCAAAUUUGGGUAUAGGGGCGAAAGACUAAUCGAACCAUC